rnacentral:lncRNA from 1 species
CUCUCCAAUCUAGCUUCCCUCCUCCCUUGUCAGUGUGGAGAAACAGGAAGGAAUGUUUAUUAACAAGGCUGGCUGAGGUCACACCCAAGGCAAUAUCAGAGUUUUACCUCUCCUGGGCCUUGGAAAAGAUUCAAAGAUCAAGGCCAGCU